GUACACGCUGUGACUAGCAUAUCAAUAAGCGGAGGAAAAGAAACUAACAAGGAUUCCCUUAGUAACGGCGAAUGAAGCGGGAAGAGCUCAAAUUUGAAAUCUUCAAGGUUUUACCUUGACGAAUUGUAGUUUAAAGAAGUGUUUUCUGUUGAAGUUUUGGUAAAAGUUCUUUGGAAUAGGACAUCAUAGAGGGUGAGAAUCCCGUAUUUGACCAUUAUUUUCAGCUGUGUGAUACACUUUCAAAGAGUCGGAUUGUUUGGGAAUGCAGUCCAAAAUGGGUGGUAAAUUUCAUCUAAAGCUAAAUAUUGGCGAGAGACCGAUAGCGAACAAGUACCGUGAGGGAAAGAUGAAAAGAACUUUGAAAAGAGAGUUAAACAGUACGUGAAAUUGUCAAAAGGGGAGCGUUUGACACCAGUGUUGUUUUCUCGAAAAUCAAUUAAAAAGAGUUCGAUUUUGUUGUGUAUUGACCUUAACAGCUUGCAUUUCAAUUUUCUUGCUUUUUUUAAUGCACUUUUCGUUUAACAAGUCAACAUCAGUUUCUUUUGUUGUAAAAAGGUCAUUGGAAGGUGGCUUUCUUUUCGGAGAAAGUGUUUAUAGCCUUUGACUCCUGCAAUCGGAGAGACUGAGGUCUGCAGCGUAGAUCCUUCGGGGUUAGAUACAUUUGUGCUAAGUUAUAGCUUUUUAUAGACAACUUGUUGACUAUAAUUAGUCUCGUAGCUUACUCGCUUAUGCUAUUUUACCUACGCUUAGGAUGUUGAACUACUGAGACAUAGA
rnacentral:rRNA from 1 species